rnacentral:rRNA from 1 species
AAGAGUUUGAUCAUGGCUCAGAUUGAACGCUGGCGGCAGGCCUAACACAUGCAAGUCGAACGGUAACAGGAAGCAGCUUGCUGCUUUGCUGACGAGUGGCGGACGGGUGAGUAAUGUCUGGGAAACUGCCUGAUGGAGGGGGAUAACUACUGGAAACGGUGGCUAAUACCGCAUAACGUCGCAAGACCAAAGAGGGGGACCUUCGGGCCUCUUGCCAUCAGAUGUGCCCAGAUGGGAUUAGCUUGUUGGUGAGGUAACGGCUCACCAAGGCGACGAUCCCUAGCUGGUCUGAGAGGAUGACCAGCCACACUGGAACUGAGACACGGUCCAGACUCCUACGGGAGGCAGCAGUGGGGAAUAUUGCACAAUGGGCGCAAGCCUGAUGCAGCCAUGCCGCGUGUAUGAAGAAGGCCUUCGGGUUGUAAAGUACUUUCAGCGGGGAGGAAGGUGUUGUGGUUAAUAACCGCAGCAAUUGACGUUACCCGCAGAAGAAGCACCGGCUAACUCCGUGCCAGCAGCCGCGGUAAUACGGAGGGUGCAAGCGUUAAUCGGAAUUACUGGGCGUAAAGCGCACGCAGGCGGUCUGUCAAGUCGGAUGUGAAAUCCCCGGGCUCAACCUGGGAACUGCAUUCGAAACUGGCAGGCUUGAGUCUUGUAGAGGGGGGUAGAAUUCCAGGUGUAGCGGUGAAAUGCGUAGAGAUCUGGAGGAAUACCGGUGGCGAAGGCGGCCCCCUGGACAAAGACUGACGCUCAGGUGCGAAAGCGUGGGGAGCAAACAGGAUUAGAUACCCUGGUAGUCCACGCCGUAAACGAUGUCUACUUGGAGGUUGUGCCCUUGAGGCGUGGCUUCCGGAGCUAACGCGUUAAGUAGACCGCCUGGGGAGUACGGCCGCAAGGUUAAAACUCAAAUGAAUUGACGGGGGCCCGCACAAGCGGUGGAGCAUGUGGUUUAAUUCGAUGCAACGCGAAGAACCUUACCUGGUCUUGACAUCCACGGAAGUUUUCAGA